rnacentral:rRNA from 1 species
GAGUUUGAUCGUGGCUCAGAGCGAACGCUGGCGGCAGGCUUAACACAUGCAAGUCGAGCGGGUGUAGCAAUACAUCAGCGGCAGACGGGUGAGUAACGCGUGGGAACGUACCUUUUGGUUCGGAACAACCCAGGGAAACUUGGGCUAAUACCGGAUAAGCCCUUACGGGGAAAGAUUUAUCGCCGAAAGAUCGGCCCGCGUCUGAUUAGCUAGUUGGUGAGGUAAUGGCUCACCAAGGCGACGAUCAGUAGCUGGUCUGAGAGGAUGAUCAGCCACAUUGGGACUGAGACACGGCCCAAACUCCUACGGGAGGCAGCAGUGGGGAAUUUUGGACAAUGGGCGCAAGCCUGAUCCAGCCAUUCCGCGUGCAGGAUGAAGGCCCUCGGGUUGUAAACUGCUUUUGUACGGAACGAAACGGUGCUGGUUAAUACCCGGCGCUAAUGACGGUACCGUAAGAAUAAGCACCGGCUAACUACGUGCCAGCCGCCGCU